rnacentral:rRNA from 2 species
AACACGACUCUCGGCAAUGGAUAUCUCGGCUCUUGCAUCGAUGAAGAGCGCAGCGAAAUGCGAUACGUGGUGCGAAUUGCAGAAUCCCGUGAACCAUCGAGUCUUUGAACGCAAGUUGCGCCCGAGGCCAGCCGGCCAAGGGCACGUUCGCCUGGGCGUCAAGC